rnacentral:rRNA from 1 species
AUUGAACGCUGGCGGCAUGCCUUACACAUGCAAGUCGAACGGCAGCACGGGAGCAAUCCUGGUGGCGAGUGGCGAACGGGUGAGUAAUAUAUCGGAACGUGCCCAGUCGUGGGGGAUAACGUAGCGAAAGCUACGCUAAUACCGCAUACGAUCUAUGGAUGAAAGCGGGGGAUCGCAAGGCCUCGCGCGAUUGGAGCGGCCGAUAUCAGAUUAGGUAGUUGGUGGGGCAAAAGCCUACCAAGCCUUCGAUCUGUAGCUGGUCUGAGAGGACGACCAGCCACACUGGAACUGAGACACGGUCCAGACUCCUACGGGAGGCAGCAGUGGGGAAUUUUGGACAAUGGGCGCAAGCCUGAUCCAGCAAUGCCGCGUGCAGGAUGAAGGCCUUCGGGUUGUAAACUGCUUUUGUACGGAACGAAACGGCUCUUUCUAAUAAAGGGAGCUAAUGACGGUACCGUAAGAAUAAGCACCGGCUAACUACGUGCCAGCA